rnacentral:lncRNA from 1 species
UUAGAUAAAAUCAUAAUGACGAGUUAAUCACAACAAGCAUACAUUCCAAUAAACAUGUAACAUUGGUUUAUUUACUAUUUUGCCCAAAAUCGAGUUACUUACCAUAUUUAUUAUUGUCUUACCAUUUUUAUUUUUUCCUACCGGUAUCACUGGGAGUCCAUGGUGAUCCUCGCUACACGUAGGUACAUAAUACUUCUGUUGUAAAUCAACGGUUGUCCUCAUAUCCCGUCCGAUAAUGGACACCACAUACUAAAGACUGCCUCAAU